rnacentral:rRNA from 1 species
GGAGGAGCAUGUGGUUUAAUUCGAUGAUACGCGAGGAACCUUACCUGGGCUCGAACGUAAGAUGACUGUAGGUGAAAGCUUACAUCUCUUCGGAGCAUUUUACGAGGUGCUGCAUGGUUGUCGUCAGCUCGUGCCGUGAGGUGUCGGGUUAAGUCCCAUAACGAGCGCAACCCCUACCUUUAGUUGCCAUCAGGUAAUGCUGGGGACUCUAAAGGAACUGCCUACGCAAGUAGUGAGGAAGGCGGGGAUGACGUCAAAUCAGCACGGCCCUUACGUCCAGGGCUACACACGUGCUACAAUGGCCGAUACAGAGGGCAGCUACCUGGUGACAGGAUGCAAAUCUCCAAAGUCGGUCUCAGUUCGGAUCGGAGUCUGCAACCCGACUCCGUGAAGUUGGAUUCGCUAGUAAUCGCGCAUCAGCCAUGGCGCGGUGAAUACGUUCCCGGGCCUU